rnacentral:rRNA from 1 species
UGGGGAAUUUUGGACAAUGGGCGAAAGCCUGAUCCAGCAAUGCCGCGUGUGUGAAGAAGGCCUUCGGGUUGUAAAGCACUUUUGUCCGGAAAGAAAUCCUUGGCUCUAAUACAGUCGGGGGAUGACGGUACCGGAAGAAUAAGCACCGGCUAACUACGUGCCAGCAGCCGCGGUAAUACGUAGGGUGCAAGCGUUAAUCGGAAUUACUGGGCGUAAAGCGUGCGCAGGCGGUUUGCUAAGACCGAUGUGAAAUCCCCGGGCUCAACCUGGGAACUGCAUUGGUGACUGGCAGGCUAGAGUAUGGCAGAGGGGGGUAGAAUUCCACGUGUAGCAGUGAAAUGCGUAGAGAUGUGGAGGAAUACCGAUGGCGAAGGCAGCCCCCUGGGCCAAUACUGACGCUCAUGCACGAAAGCGUGGGGAGCAAACAGGAUUAGAUACCCUGGUAGUCCACGCCCUAAACGAUGUCAACUAGUUGUUGGGGGACUUCAUUUCCUUAGUAACGUAGCUAACGCGUGAAGUUGACCGCCU